rnacentral:rRNA from 1 species
GGAGGAUCCGAGCGUUAUCCGGAUUUAUUGGGUUUAAAGGGAGCGUAGGUGGACUGGUAAGUCAGUUGUGAAAGUUUGCGGCUCAACCGUAAAAUUGCAGUUGAUACUGUCAGUCUUGAGUACAGUAGAGGUGGGCGGAAUUCGUGGUGUAGCGGUGAAAUGCUUAGAUAUCACGAAGAACUCCGAUUGCGAAGGCAGCUCACUGGACUGCAACUGACACUGAUGCUCGAAAGUGUGGGUAUCAAACAGGAUUAGAUACCCUGGUAGUCCACACAGUAAACGAUGAAUACUCGCGGUUUGCGAUACAAUGUAAGCCGCCAAGCGAAAGCGUUAAGUAUUCCACCUGGGGAGUACGCCGGCAACGGUGAAACUCAAAGGAAUUGACGGCCGUCAAUUCCUUUGAGUUUGUAUUACCGCGGCUGCUG